rnacentral:misc_RNA from 1 species
CGCACAUUGCACUCCUCGGUAUUCCGGGGAGUAUGCCUGUUCGAGCGUCAUUACACCAUUCAAGCCUAUGCUUGGUCUUGGAAUUCAUCUCUAACCGGAUGCUUCCGAAAGAAAGUGGCAGUUUGGAAAACAUCAAGCGUAGUGAAACAUUUUCGUUCUGAUGACUUUAUUCAAGCUUGCCAGAAACAUUUUUUUAAUCAAAAUUUGACCUCGGAUCAGGUAGGGAUACCCGCUGAACUUAA